rnacentral:snoRNA from 1 species
ACCUUCCAAAUUCCUUACCCUUCGGAUGUAAAUAUUGGUCUGAAUGGCUGAUAAAAGGGGACAAGCAGAGCUGCAGUGGACGUGGAGUCCUUAGUGACCUGCAGGUGAAUUUCAAACAUUA